UUCCCCUGGUUUCUUUUCAUUAAUGACUCAAAAAACAUAUUAAAUUUCAAAAGUGGCACACUCUGCAUUCUAUUUUCAAAUAUAGCACAAUUUUAAUUACAUUCAGAAUUCAGUUUCUAAGAAACAGUUAAUGACAUGUAAGUAAUUUUUAAUAAAAGCAUAACUUGAGAGAUUUGUUUGACAGAGACACGAAUUGUGGAAAUGGGUAAAAUGAGUUUUUAACCUAGGUAACUCUUUUUCACUUACUUUAAAAUCCUCUUCACUUUUUCUUUUCUUGUUCUUUGUCUAACCUAGUUGUUGCCCCCUCCCCUUUGUUCGUCUUCUUCUCUUCUCCAUUUUUGUUCUUCUCUUCUUCCACUCCAUUUCAUAGCACCACAUACCACCACAACACCCUUUGCACCACGGACACUCUUUCAAAGCAAGGAAGGAAAGCUAAGGUAUUUGUUUACAUUUUUGUCUACAUUUGCAUAAUUAUAGAGUUUGAAUGAGAUUGAUUUGACCUAUGCAUUAAUCUAGAAAACCUGAUGAGGAAAAAAAUCAUUAAAGCCUUCAACGAGUUUUGAAGAUCGUUGACCUUCAACGAGUUUUGAAGAUCGUUGACCUUCAACGAGUUUUGAAAAUCAUUGAGACCUUCAUUAUUAAUAACAUCUCCAUAUUUUGUAAUAAUAUUUUUAGAAAUUUCAAUUACUUUAGAAUUAAUAAUUAAGAAUGUAUAAAUAGUGUUAUGUACCAAAUCAACACAAUUGACCACUUUCACAUCCCUUAACAAAACUUUUAUUUAAUUAUUAUGAUUUGAUCAUAUUUAUUCAAAAUUUAAGUUUCUCAUAUUAUGUUUUAAUUGUUUCAAAUUUUUUUAUUAGUGCCUAUUUCAAAUUGAUUUUACCUAUGUUCUAAUUGAUGUUAACUAACUAUUUGUUAUUUUAAUUUAGCUUUGUUUUGAACAAUUAAAAAUGUAUGAUGACUUAUAGGUAAAAGUUAUUUCAUUUCUUAAAAUGUUUUAAUUUUAAAUCUUAUUUCAUCUUUAUAUAAAAUUUAUUUGAGGUAACGAAUAUGUUUUAAUUUAUUUUCAUCUUACUUCAGGGUCAUCAAACAAUCAAAGAUUCAACUUACAUACAGGUAUGUUUUUGAAUUCUCCAUCCAUAUAUGCUUUAAUCUCUCCACAUUCUUACUAUGAGCUCACAAUUUUUUUAUUAUUAAUCAGACUGUUUAAUCAUUGAAAAUUUCUACUUUAGUUUUUCUAUCCUCUGAAUAUUGCAAAUAUACAAACCUUCAUGGUAUGUAAUAUUAAUUUUCAUUAAUUAAAACUAGUAAAAACACGUGUUAAAAAAUAAUACAAUUAUUAUUAUAAUAAUAAUAAUUAUUAUUAUUAUAAAAUUAAAUAUAAAUAAUUUGUAUUACUUUAUUGUAAAUGAUUUUUAUUUAUUUUGCAAAUAGUUUUAUAAUUAAAAGAUGGUUCAAUUUUUCUAAAAAAAAAAAACUGUUAAAUUUAAAAAGUGAAAUUAAUAAAAUGAUUAUUUUUGUUUAAAAAUAUUAUUUAAAGAAUAAGAUGGAAAAAUAAAUAUAAACAUGAAAAGAAGAUCUCUUUAUAUAUGUAAUACUUCAUUGAUAGGAUAAGUUAUGUUUUUCAAUGAAAUAAAAUCAAAAUUCGAUAUUUUUCUUCUCCAAAUUAAUAGUACGAAAUCUAAAGCCUCUAUUCAUCUUUUUUUUUUUUCACUUCGGUCAACCCUAAUCUUCUUUUUUUACUCUAGCUAACUUUGUUUUUCCCCUUUCACUCCAGUCAACUUCCAUUACCCUUUCAUUUGUCUUUCAUGAUUUUUUUUUUCAUUAGUGACACAAAAAAACAUAUUUAAUUUCAGAAAUGGCACAUUGUGCAUUAUAUUUAGAAAUAUAGAACAAUUUUAAUUACAUUCAGAAUUCAGUUUCUAAGAAACUGUUAAUGUCAUUUGAGUAAUUUUUAUUAAAAGCAUAACUUGAGAUUUGUUUGACAGAAACACGAAUUAUGGGAAUGAGUAAAAUGAGUUUUUAACUUAGGUAAUUCUUUUUUCACUUACUUUAAAACCCUCCUCACUUUUUCUUUUCUUGUUCUUUGUCUAACCUAGCCGUUGUCACCUCUCCUUUGUUCGUCUUCUUCUCUUCUCCAUCUUUGUUCUUCUCUUCGUCCACUCCACUACCACAAGUUUCAUAACAUCACAUAUCAUCACGUACACUCUUUCAAAGCAAGGAAGGAAAGCUAAGAUAUUUAUUUACGUUUUUAUUUACAUUUGUAUAAUUAUAGAGUUUGAAAGAGGUUAGUUUGGCCUAUGCAUUAAUUUAGAAAACUUGGUGAGGAAAAAAAUUAUUGAAGCCUUCCACGAGUUUUGAAUCAAUUUUAAAGAAAUUUCAAAUUCAUUCAUGGAAGUUUCAAAUUGAU
rnacentral:lncRNA from 1 species